rnacentral:lncRNA from 1 species
UGCUGAGGACCAGCAGAUACUAGAUACAAGAAGGUCAGUAGGAACAUAUUUCCACAUCCUCAAGGAUUUUGACGAAGACGGUGGCAGGAGUUCAUUUGCUGCACCUGUUACCAAAAGUUGUGAAGGCAAGGAAGAGCCUGGAAUUGUCUGCACAUCAUGCCCAUUGGCACUUCAGGAAUGAUCGCUGAUGCCAGCCCCACUCUGGCAACCCUGCUUCUGACAGCCUCAUCAUGACUCACACACAAUGAGCACAGAGCAUGAAGACACUGAGAUGAGGGCCUGAAAACCUCCACAGAAAUCAGGGGUAAACAAAGGGGGCUGUUGAGGUGGGAGUAGAGAAAUUAUUUUCCUUUCUGUUUUAUAACAAGUGAUAGGCUUGCAUUUGCUGAUUUAAGAAUAUUUACAAAGCAUAUACAUUAUACUUGUUAGUUUUGCUUCUGGAUUUGAAUCAGGAGCUAUCUUCAUCACACAUAAUUUUUUUAAAGCACUGACUUUUUCUAAAAAGUAUGAUGCUUGGGGCUUGUGUAAAGGAUGCUUAGAAUUUGUAUAAAACACUUGGUUCCUACUGUUUUGUAACUCUCCAUCUGCUCUUCUCAGUAAGAAAAAAAAAACACAGGGCAGACAAGCAUUGCUUACUGAAACUGCUAUGGAUGUAGUCAUACUUUAUUUUAUUUCACUGCUCAACAUACAUUUUUCUUUUUAAGACAGCAUCAUUACUGCUGUAAUCAGAGGUCUGAUGUUUUCUAGUCAAGGACAAAUUAGACCAAUCAGUUGCCCUGCUUUUGAAUAUGAAUCUUGAGUAGAAGAGUAGGCAGUAUCUUAAUGGUUAGCUUUCCACCCUCCUGCUAGUGGAGUCCUCAGCAGCCUUUGCCAUCUGGGAGACAACUGUGGGAGCUCCUGCCUCUGAGCUUUGGGAGCUGACUUGCUUUCUGUGUGUAUUCUGAAGCCUUGUUCUUCAUCCUUUGAUACAUUUUGAGCCCUUCUUCACUCCCUGAUUUCCUUCCAAUGAAUUUUAC